rnacentral:rRNA from 1 species
GGAGCUUGCUCCCGGAUGUUAGCGGCGGACGGGUGAGUAACACGUGGGUAACCUGCCUGUAAGACUGGGAUAACUCCGGGAAACCGGAGCUAAUACCGGAUAGUUCCUUGAACCGCAUGGUUCAAGGAUGAAAGACGGUUUCGGCUGUCACUUACAGAUGGACCCGCGGCGCAUUAGCUAGUUGGUGAGGUAACGGCUCACCAAGGCGACGAUGCGUAGCCGACCUGAGAGGGUGAUCGGCCACACUGGGACUGAGACACGGCCCAGACUCCUACGGGAGGCAGCAGUAGGGAAUCUUCCGCAAUGGACGAAAGUCUGACGGAGCAACGCCGCGUGAGUGAUGAAGGUUUUCGGAUCGUAAAGCUCUGUUGUUAGGGAAGAACAAGUGCAAGAGUAACUGCUUGCACCUUGACGGUACCUAACCAGAAAGCCACGGCUAACUACGUGCCAGCAGCCGCGGUAAUACGUAGGUGGCAAGCGUUGUCCGGAAUUAUUGGGCGUAAAGGGCUCGCAGGCGGUUUCUUAAGUCUGAUGUGAAAGCCCCCGGCUCAACCGGGGAGGGUCAUUGGAAACUGGGAAACUUGAGUGCAGAAGAGGAGAGUGGAAUUCCACGUGUAGCGGUGAAAUGCGUAGAGAUGUGGAGGAACACCAGUGGCGAAGGCGACUCUCUGGUCUGUAACUGACGCUGAGGAGCGAAAGCGUGGGGAGCGAACAGGAUUAGAUACCCUGGUAGUCCACGCCGUAAACGAUGAGUGCUAAGUGUUAGGGGGUUUCCCGCCCCUUAGUGCUGCAGCUAACGCAUUAAGCACUCCGCCUGGGGAGUACCGUCCCCAAGACUGAAAACUCAAAGGAAUUGAACGGGGGCCCCGCACCAAGCGGAUGGAACCAUGUGGUUUUAAUUUCCAAACCAACCCCG